UACGAAGGGGGCGAACGUUGUUCGGAAUUACUGGGCGUAAGGACGGCGCAGCGCUCUGUUUGUCAGGCGUGAAAGCCCCGGGCUUAACCUGGGAGGUGCGUUUGAUACGGCAGGGCUAGAGUUCGGGAGAGGAGAGUGGAAUUCCCAGUGUAGAGGUGAAAUGCGUAGAUAUUGGGAAGAACACCGGUGGCGAAGGCGGCUCUCUGGACCGAUACUGACGCUGAGGCGCGAAAGCGUGGGGAGCAAACAGG
rnacentral:rRNA from 1 species